rnacentral:lncRNA from 10 species
GGGGAAUCACCUGAACCUGGGAGGCUGAGGUUGCGGUAAGCCAAGAUCGCACCACUGCACUCCAGCCUGAGACAGAGUGAGACUCCGUCUCAAAAACAAACAAUUCCUGAACAUGAAAAAAAAAAAAAAAAAAAAAAAGACAGUCUCCCCCACAAGCCCUGAGGCCAGAAGGUUCCAUCUCAACUGAUAUCAGCCUCUCUUACCCCUCUUACCACACUAACUGCCACCACACAGGACUGAGUGUACUCAGAACAACCUUGAAACUAAUGCCAGAUGCAGAAACCCACUUUUCGCCUUUUGUCAAAGCAGGGCAGAGAGGUAGGGGAGAGAAUGAAGUAUCAGGAAGCACUGUGUUUGUUCUAUUAAGGAGAAACAGGAUUUCAAUAUAAUAUCUUGAAAAUUAAAAUUACAACAAAUUUCUUAGAACUUUGGUUUAUCAGCAUAUUAGCAUAUUGACACAGUCUCACAUGAAGCAGGAACAACUGUCUACAGGAGGUAUCUCUGCAAAUGAUGGCCUCUGGGCCAGAUCUGGUGUUCCUUGGCUGUGAUGUACAGCCCCCCUGCUAAGUAGAGUUUUUACAUUGCUGAGAAAUGGUUUUUAACUUUUUUUAUAAAGUUGUUUUUUAAAAGAGGCAAAUAGCAAAAAAAAGACCCUGAGAGAGAAAGUAUCAGGCCCUUCUCAGAAAGUUUGUCAACCCCUGGUUUACAGGAAUAAUGAACUCUCCUCCGUCCUGCCUCCACCAACCAAAACAAAGUCUUAAAAAAAAAAAUACACAAGACCAACCAGAAGCACAGGUGGAAAGAUGACUUUUUGAACAAAAGACUACCCUCCCCUCCUUGAUCUUAGCAACUUUAGUCUGAAUUUGCAUGACAG